GUGCCAGCAGCCGCGGUAAUACAGAGGGUGCAAGCGUUGUUCGGAAUUAUUGGGCGUAAAGCGCGUGUAGGCGGCUAUGCAAGUCGGGUGUGAAAGCCCUCGGCUUAACCGAGGAAGUGCGCCCGAAACUGCAUGGCUUGAGUACCGGAGAGGAUGGCGGAAUUCCCGAAGUAGAGGUGAAAUUCGUAGAUAUCGGGAGGAACACCGGUGGCGAAGGCGGCCAUCUGGACGGAUACUGACGCUGAGACGCGAAAGCGUGGGGAGCAAACAGGAUUAGAUACCCUGGUAGUCCACGCCGUAAACGAUGAGAACUAGGUGUCGUGGGUGUUGACCCCCGCGGUGCCGAAGCUAACGCAUUAAGUUCUCCGCCUGGGAAGUACGGCCGCAAGGCUAAA
rnacentral:rRNA from 1 species